CUUUGAGAGUUGGAUACUGCCCGAGCUAUCUUGAGGCAAACUCAGGUGAUGGGUGUUAUGAAGCAGGAGCAACCUGAAAGGUAUUUGCGCGGAUGGAGCAUCUUCUUGUCAGAAGCUAUUUUGAUCCGCAUGAGGCUUAUGGGGAAACUCGACUAAAGAAAGAAAACGUGCACAGAUUGCUCAAGCUGUUGCUGCCGAGGUUACUGUGGUACCACCUUCACGGUUAAUGGCUUCGGUAGGCCAGGCUCUAAAGUGACAACAACAUCAAGUCCUUUUGCAGGUUGUGAAGAGUUUCUCAUCCGGUAAGAGGGAAGGAGGAGAUUUUGUAGCAGCAUGUGUAUCUACAAAAGGAGAUUGGAUAUACUGCAUUGGUGAAGACAAGAAAUUGUACUGCUUCAGCUAUCAAACCGGUGGACUUGAGCAUUUUAUGAUGACUUGGGUGCAUGAGAAAGAUGUGAUAGGCGUAGCACACCACCCACAUAGACCUUAUCGCUACCUAUAGUGAAGAUCGCACUAUGAAGUUGUGGAAGCCGUGAGGUGUGUCUUAUCAUCAAGACUUGCUGAGACUCAUUUCAGUGGAUUUCAAAUUGAGUAUACUAUAAGUUCAAUGGGAUGUAUGAUAUGGAAUUGCCAUGUUUGUUCUUGAAUCUAGGAGGCAACACCAAUAGCUGCAAGGAUUUAGGGUCAGAGUUGGUUAGCUUUGUAGACGUGAGGGUCACGUAACAUACUAAGAAGAGAAGCGCAGAGCAGCAAAAGCUAAUAGUUAGGUGAAGUGAUGUAGCUUUAUUCCAUGUUUCCCACAUGGAAAUUUAUGGUCUUUUUUAAUAACAAAGCUUCGGUGGACAAGUUUUCUAUCAACCA